rnacentral:rRNA from 1 species
GACGAACGCUGGCGGCGUGCUUAACACAUGCAAGUCGAACGGAAAGGCCCUGCUUUUGUGGGGUGCUCGAGUGGCGAAAGGGUGAGUAACACGUGAGUAACCUGCCCUUGACUUUGGGAUAACUUCAGGAAACUGGGGCGAAUACCCGGUAGGAGCUUCUGCUCCAUGGUGUGGGUUGGAAAGGUUCGGCGGUUGGGGAUGGACUCGCGGCUUAUCAGCUUGUUGGUGGGGUAGUGGCUUACCUAGGCUUUGACGGGUAGCCGGCCUGAGAAAGUGACCGGGCACAUUGGCACUAGGGUACGAUCCAGACUCCUACGGGAGGCAUCAGUCGGGAGUAUUGCACAGUGGGGGCGAGACAGAUGCAGCAACGCGGCGUGCGGAAUACCGGCUUUCUGGUUGUAAACCGCUUUCGCAUGUGACGCAGAGAGAGUGACGGUAAUGGGUAAAGAAGCACCGGCUAACUACGUG